UCGUGGCCGAGUGGUUAAGGUGAUGGACUAGAAAUCCAUUGGGGUCCCCCGCACAGGUUCGAAUCCUGUCCACCGAG
rnacentral:tRNA from 1 species